UACGAAGGGGGCUAGCGUUGUUCGGAUUUACUGGGCGUAAAGCGCACGUAGGCGGAUUGGUCAGUUAGGGGUGAAAUCCUGGAGCUCAACUCCAUAACUGCCUUUAAUACUGCCAGUCUCGAGUCCGGAAGAGGUAAGUGGAACUCCUAGUGUAGAGGUGGAAUUCGUAGAUAUUAGGAAGAACACCAGUGGCGAAGGCGGCUUACUGGUCCGGUACUGACGCUGAGACGCGAAAGCGUGGGGAGCAAACAGG
rnacentral:rRNA from 1 species